rnacentral:rRNA from 1 species
CUUAGUAGCGGCGAGUGAAGCGGCAAAAGCUCAAAUUUGAAAUCUGGCGCCUUCGGUGUCCGAGUUGUAAUUUGAAGAUUGUAACCUUGGGGUUGGCUCUUGUCUAUGUUUCUUGGAACAGGACGUCACAGAGGGUGAGAAUCCCGUGCGAUGAGAUGCCCAAUUCUAUGUAAGGUGCUUUCGAAGAGUCGAGUUGUUUGGGAAUGCAGCUCUAAGUGGGUGGUAAAUUCCAUCUAAAGCUAAAUAUUGGCGAGAGACCGAUAGCGAACAAGUACAGUGAUGGAAAGAUGAAAAGAACUUUGAAAAGAGAGUGAAAAAGUACGUGAAAUUGUUGAAAGGGAAGGGUUUGAGAUCAGACUCGAUAUUUUGUGAGCCUUGCCUUCGUGGCGGGGUGACCCGCAGCUUAUCGGGCCAGCAUCGGUUUGGGCGGUAGGAUAAUGGCGUAGGAAUGUGACUUUACUUCGGUGAAGUGUUAUAGCCUGCGUUGAUGCUGCCUGCCUAGACCGAGGACUGCGA